rnacentral:rRNA from 1 species
UACAGAGGUCCCCAAGCGUUGUUCGGAUUCACUGGGCGUAAAGGGUGCGUAGGUGGUGAGGUAAGUCGGAUGUGAAAUCUCCGGGCUCAACCCGGAAAUGGCAUUGGAAACUACCUUGCUGGAGGAUUUGAGGGGGGAUUGGAAUACUUGGUGUAGCAGUGAAAUGCGUAGAUAUCAAGUGGAACACCAGUGGCGAAGGCGAAUCCCUGGAAAAUACCUGACACUGAGGCACGAAAGCUAGGGGAGCAAACAGG